UACGUAGGGUGCAAGCGUUAAUCGGAAUUACUGGGCGUAAAGCGUGCGCAGGCGGCUAUGCAAGACAGAUGUGAAAUCCCCGGGCUCAACCUGGGAACUGCAUUGGAAACUGGCGAGCUUGAAUGCGGCAGAGGGGGGUGGAAUUCCGCGUGUAGCAGUGAAAUGCGUAGAGAUGCGGAGGAACACCGAUGGCGAAGGCAGCCCCCUGGGCCUGCACUGACGCUCAUGCACGAAAGCGUGGGGAGCAAACAGG
rnacentral:rRNA from 1 species